AUUGAACGCUGGCGGCAGGCCUAACACAUGCAAGUCGAGCGAGCGGCGGACGGGUGAGUAAUGUAUGGGGACUGCCCGAUAGAAGGGGAUAACUACUGGAAACGGUAGCUAAUACCGCAUACUAUCGGAUAACCCAUAUGGGAUUAGCUAGUAGGUGAGGUAAUGGCUCACCUAGGCGACGAUCCCUAGCUGGUCUGAGAGGAUGAUCAGCCACACUGGGACUGCGAAACGGCCCAGACUCCUACGGAGGCAGCAGUGGGGGAGAGUGCACAAUGGGCGUAAGCCUGAUGCAGCGACGCCGCGUGGGGGGUGAAGGGUUUCGGGUUGUAAACCUCUUUCGCUAUCGAACGGGUAGGUGGAGAAGAAGCGCCGGCUAACUACGUGCCAGCAGCCGCGGUAAUAC
rnacentral:rRNA from 1 species